UUACAAGCGGGACCGACCACUAUAUCAGCCCUGCCACUUAAGCAUUCAUUUAAUGGCUAAGGGACCCUCCUUCUCGAGCCAUAGAAGUGGAAGCGGGCGACGGAAUCCCUCCUCAUAAACUGGCCGCUCGGUCUCCCGUCCCCUCAUCUAUCUCUCCCCAAAUGACACAAUCCCCACGGAGCAUGAGACCCAAUGGAAUCCAGCCCCCUCUAGGAUUUGUGACCGUAGUCGGGUAGGGCCGGCGGCUACGGCGGCGAUGGCAGGGCAAUGGCAGGAACGCAUGACAAUUGAUCUGGAGGGAAUGGAUGAAACUUCAUGUAAAAGGGCUCGACAUACUCGAGGGCAAGCCGGAGCCGCAGCUCCGAGGACUACAUGAUCCUCUGCACGUUAUCCACUGCUUUGUGUGCGUGUGCGAGUGCUGCUGGUUUCCAGAUCCAAUGAAAGAAGCAAAUCUGAUUGUGUUUUGGUCUCGAACAUGCAGAUAUAGGUUUGCAUUUGUGUAUUCCUUUUCGGUUUAGGUGGAGUGAUUACAUUGGCGGAUUGUCUUAGUGGAUGCGAAUGCUUACUUUUCAUCCUUCACAAAAUCAGACCCCAUUGAAUUAUUUUGUUCUUUCAUCUAUGACGACCUCAUGGCGAAGGGAUCAGGAAUACAGGAUCGCACCAGGGGAUGUGGUCGGUGCAGGAAGUAGAUGAGACUUGGAGAGAAAGAAGGUGAGGAAAAGAGAGUACCACGUGAGAUGCAGAAUACUACUUACUUGCUAAUACAUGCCCACACUUCUGUUCGGUACAGAUUAAUUAAGGGUCAUAGCCCAUAGACGCAAACACACUACUGAAUUACAUGGCGUCAUGUCCAACUGCUAUCCACUUGCAUUACCCACUACCUGCAGGUGCGACACAAGACCUUUGUAUUAGAAUUGCAGUAUAACUAUCUUUUACGUAGUAGUAGGUACAGUUAGUGCAUCAGUGAGUUUGCUUUUUACUUGACAAUUUGUUUUAGGUCAGUUUAUUUAUGCUCCCUCUUUCUGGGGCUAAACAAAUGACAUCAAGAAGCUGGAGCCAGCCCCAUCUUUGUCGAGGCGACUCUCACUUGGCGUAUGUGAGGUGUGCAUUAAAAGAUCUCUUGGUUGAGCUUCUAGCAUGGUAAUGGUAGCGUUUUUUAGUGAGCUGACUCUACAGCAGGGAGGAAGCCAUCAAGCUACUACGUCCUAUUGAUGAUAAGCUUACAAGCAGGGACAGUGAAGGUCCUGUGGACCUGCUUAUGCCACUCUUCCAUUAUUUUGAUAUCCCCGAUUCCAACUGUUGCAUGGUGACUGAGAUGUACCGGUGUUGAGCCAAGCACCAUGGAUGCAGUCUCAUUUGUAGAUGGAUUCUUCUACGUCUUAUUUAGUAAGUCCAAUGCUGACUUAGUGUUCAUCCUCCUUUUCAGGUUGUAGGCCUUCAUCACCGUAUAUUCAAAGUUCCACCAAAAAGAUACAUAGUUCCUGUUGGAAUAAUUUUUCUUUCGUCUGGCUUUUCAUCUGUGCUAUAUUGUUAUCCAUUACUUCGCAUCUAAAAUUGGUACUUUCUUUGUUCUUGAGAGUUGAAGGUUAGUGACUAUUGGGUAUGCUGAAUUGGUAGGUUUUAAGUUCAUUUACACAAGGUGAUCUUUCUCUACAAGUUUUUGUGUAGGUGGCAACAUUUGGUUGUCUCCUUUGUUCAAGAGGAUAGUUGAUGAAUUACCUGCAUUUUGAUGAUAUUCAGCUUAGGGAACAAGAUAAUUGCACAUACAAGGAUCCAACAUAAAUUUAUUCCUUUUA